AUGUCGUCGUCCUUCCGCCGCCGUGCGCUGGUAGUGCUGGCGACGGUUCUGAUCCUCGUGUUGUUACUGCUCCUCCUGGUGCCGGCCAUUGCUCAUGCAGACAGCAUCGCCGCCGCCGGCGGCGGUAGACGUACCACCAGCAACAACGUCCGCCCCAACCUACGACGGAAGAAGAUCAUGCCUGAUCAGACCAUCGAGCUCGACCUACGCGGCUACCACAGAGCAGCUGCUGCCGGGCGCCACCGCAAGCUACUCGAGCCUUCUCCCGGGCCUUCUCCCGCGCCUUCUCCCGAGCCUCCUCCUGCGCCGUCUCCCGAGCCUUCUCAGAGUGAAAACGCCGUCGAGGUCGAGGUCGACGUGGCGAGCUACGGAGCCGUCGGCGACGGCCAACAGGACGAUACACCGGCAUUCCGGGAAGCAUGGGCCGCCGCUUGCGCCUCGCCUCAGCCGGCCACCCUCGUGGUCCCCAGGGAGAAGACGUACCUCAUGAAGCAGACCACCUUCUCGGGCAAGUGCAAGUCCCCCGUCACCUUCAGGCUGGACGGCACGCUGGUGGCGCCCGCCAGCCGGUCGGCAUGGCCCGAGGAGAACAUGAGGUGGUGGAUCAUGUUCCGCAACGUCGACGGGCUCACCGUGACCGGCGACGGGACCAUCGACGGCAACGGCGAGACGUGGUGGAAGAGCUCGUGCCGGGUGGACAAGAAGCUCAAGUGCAGCAACGCCCCCAUGGCGCUGCUGCUCAGCAGGUGCAACAACCUCACGGUGGAGAACAUCCGGCUCCUCAACAGCCAGCAGAUCCACAUGUCGGUCGAGGACUGCCGGGACGUGCUCCUCAAGGGCAUCACCAUCACCGCCCCCGGCGACAGCCCCAUGAACGACGGCAUCCACAUUGCGCGCACCAAGGACAUCCAGGUCCUAGAUUGCGACAUUAAAACAGGGGACGACUGCAUGUCCAUCGAGACCGGAACCGAAAACCUCUACGCUUCAAGGAUAACAUGUGGCCCGGGACACGGGAUCAGCAUCGGGAGCUUAGGCAACGACAACUCCGAGGCCCGAGUCUCAAACAUAACAAUCUACAAGGCGCACCUCUCCGGCACGACCAACGGCGCGCGCAUGAAGUCGUGGCAGGGAGGAAAAGGGUACGCCAAGGACGUCACGUUCGAGGACAUAACCAUGGAGGAGGUCCAUAACCCCAUAAUCAUUGACCAGAACUACUGCACAUCGGCCGAUCCCGCCAACCCUAAGCCCUGCAAGAAACAAACUUCGGCGGUGGAGUUCAGCAACAUUCGGUUCAAGAACAUAAGGGGCACGAGUGCGACGAAAGAGGCUAUCAAGCUGGACUGCAGCGACACCGUCCCAUGCCGCGAUAUAUUGUUGCAAGACGUGAAGCUUACCUUUCGUGACCGUGGGCACAAGCACAAGCACACUUCCGCAACAAGUGUAUGCAACAACGCCAAGCUAACCGAAUCUGGCACCAAUGUAGAUCCCAAGACCUGCUGA
rnacentral:rRNA from 1 species